UACGGAGGGUGCAAGCGUUAUCCGGAUUUACUGGGUUUAAAGGGUGCGUAGGCGGGCUUUUAAGUCAGCGGUGAAAUCUUCGGGCUCAACCCGAAAAUUGCCGUUGAUACUAUUAGUCUUGAAUUAAGUUGAGGUGGGCGGAAUGUGUCAUGUAGCGGUGAAAUGCUUAGAUAUGACACAGAACACCGAUUGCGAAGGCAGCUCGCUAAACUUAUAUUGACGCUGAGGCACGAAAGCGUGGGGAGCAAACAGG
rnacentral:rRNA from 1 species